rnacentral:rRNA from 1 species
GACGAACGCUGGCGGCGUGCUUAACACAUGCAAGUCGAACGGAAAGGCCCUGCUUGCAGGGUACUCGAGUGGCGAACGGGUGAGUAACACGUGGGUGAUCUGCCCUGCACUUCGGGAUAAGCCUGGGAAACUGGGUCUAAUACCGGAUAGGAGCCAUUUUUAGUGUGAUGGUUGGAAAGUUUUUUCGGUGUAGGAAGAGCUCGCGGCCUAUCAGCUUGUUGGUGGGGUAAUGGCCUACCAAGGCGGCGACGGGUAGCCGGCCUGAGAGGGUGGACGGCCACAUUGGGACUGAGAUACGGCCCAGACUCCUACGGGAGGCAGCAGUGGGGAAUAUUGCACAAUGGGCGCAAGCCUGAUGCAGCGACGCCGCGUGGGGGAUGACGGCCUUCGGGUUGUAAACUCCUUUCGCUAGGGACGAAGCUUUUUGUGACGGUACCUAGAUAAGAAGCACCGGCUAACUACGUG